AUGUCUCAGGCUGUUUGAGAAAGCUGCCAAGGAUAUUAAGCACCUUGAGACCAAGCCAGCAGAUGAUGAGAGGAUGUUCAUCUACAGCCGCUGCAAACAAGCGACUGUGCAUGACUUAAAUACAGAAUGGCCCAGGAUGUUAGACCUCAAAGGCAAGGCAAAGCAGGAUGCUGGAAUGAGCUGAAAGACACUGCCAAGGAAGAUGCUGUGAAAGCUGAUAUCAACAAAGUAGAAGAGCGAAAUAAAAAAAUACAGAAUAUAA
rnacentral:lncRNA from 1 species